AGAGACUGCCCGCAUGCAAGAAAGACUGCUACUCUUUCUUUCUAGGUUGAAUUUCCUAGGAUCUCCU
rnacentral:tRNA from 1 species